rnacentral:rRNA from 1 species
AUUGAACGCUGGCGGAAUGCUUUACACAUGCAAGUCGAACGGGCUUGAGGGGCUUGCUCCUCAAGUUAGUGGCGAACGGGUGAGUAAUGCAUCGGAACGUACCUAGUCGUGGGGGAUAACGUAGCGAAAGUUACGCUAAUACCGCAUACGUCCUACGGGAGAAAGCAGGGGAUCGCAAGACCUUGCGCGAUUGGAGCGGCCGAUGUCUGAUUAGCUAGUUGGUGGGGUAAAGGCUCACCAAGGCGACGAUCAGUAGCGGGUCUGAGAGGAUGAUCCGCCACACUGGGACUGAGACACGGCCCAGACUCCUACGGGAGGCAG